GAGCCAGUUUGAUUUAAAAGCAAAACAAUACCUAUGUUGUUGGUAUUUUAUUUUGAAACUUGCACAGUUUCCUGUAAUAAUCUGGCUGCGGGUGGGUGAUUUGACUGCUUUCAUUUUUAUCCUGGGUUAGGCGACGUCACUCUGGGUCGGUGUGAACGCUUCGGGGACAGUGUACUGUAGCUCACACGACACUGUUGAAGUGUUAAAUAUUCCAUAGCCUUUUAAUUGACACGUAAAUCAUGCUUCACGAGGGCUGAGAUAAGAUAUCUAUUAAUUCUAGCCAGAAUUUGACACUGGCCUAUAAAAAGCAGGGCAUUUCAUGAUUAGUUCAAGUUAACUUAAAGAAAAGCCGAGCCAGAUUAAUCUGAACGUGAGUGGAGCUUCGAUGAAUCAACUUGUUGGUGUUUUUGAGGCGCUGGGCUGGGCUUGUUGCUAAAAACUGUUCUGACACCGCCCCCUUCUGGAAAACCCACUGGCUUCAGUGGUAUCGGCAUGGAAAAAUCUCCAUCAGAUGCUGGAACACCCACCCGCUGCUUCCCACUAAGAAGUGGGUUUGAGCCAAAAGAAUAUAGAGAAAAGAAGCAACAUGAGAAUUAAAAGCAGACGUAUGGAACCAACUACUUUGUCCUGUGCCCUGAGGAAGCUCUGGUUCUGAAGCCUGGAGGAAGCUGGACAAUGGCGGGAUGUGAGAGGCGCCGUGCUCUCUCUCUCUCUCUCUCUCUCUCUCUCUCUCUCUCUCUCUCUCUCUCUCUCCCUCUCUCUCUCUCUCUCAGCCCCUCUCUGCUCCUGGAGCGCAACUGACUGUACAAGAUGUUCUCUCCGAGUCUGAAACUUCUCCACUCCCACACAAAGUGCCCAAUACAGAAGUUUACUAUUAAACAAUGACGUAUCAGUGAGCGGUUUGUGGCACGUUGUAUGAACUGAUGGUACAGUAUGCCAACAGAAGCAAAGAGCUUUGGAUUUGAAGAAAUAUAAAUAAUUGAAUAGAACAGGUCCAGUAAAUAAAUAACCCAGA